GAUAAAUCAAAGUCUUAAAAUAUUUCAUCAUUUUCUUAUUUCUUAAAAGAAAGUGUAGUAUAUUAGUCGAAUAAGAAUCUCUAUAAAGUAAAUGUUUUAAGCGUGACUGGGGAGUUUCAAAAUAAUGAUAGAAAAAGCACGAAAGCUCUCCAAAUAGCGAUCUCCAACCUGUACUCCAUAAACCCGGUAAUUCGUUUACUUUUAAAGCUUUAAUUCUCUCAUAAAAGUAUCGUGGAAAAACCGCGUGACAAGGCGAAAAGGUAAAAGCUUAGUUUUAGUGCAAAAAAUGGCAACCGUAAACGUAAAAUUAACGAAAAAAAUAUCAUUUCAAAUGUAGUCGCUGAUUCAAUAAACACCUCGUUAUAAUGA